UACGUAGGGGGCGAGCGUUGUCCGGAUUCAUUGGGCGUAAAGCGCUUUAAGGCGGUUCGCUAAGUCGCGUGUGAAACCUCCAGGCUCAACCUGGAGACGCCACGCGAUACUGGCGUGACUAGAGUUCGGUAGGGGAUCACGGAAUUCCUGGUGUAGCGGUGAAAUGCGCAGAUAUCAGGAGGAGCACCAGUGGCGAAGGCGGUGAUCUGGGCCGAUACUGACGCUGUAGAGCGAAAGCGUGGGGAGCGAACAGG
rnacentral:rRNA from 1 species